UGUGAGUCAAGGGGUCGUAAGACACCGGCGUACUGCUCAGUAACACGCGGACAAUCUACCCCCAGGUGGGGGAUAACCUCGGGAAACUGAGGCUAAUACCCCAUAGUUGUCAUGUGCUGGAAUGCUUUGACGAUGAAAGAAUUUCGCCUGAGGAUGAGUCUGCGGCCUAUCAGGUAGUAUGUGGUGUAAAGGACCACAUAGCCUAAGACGGGUACGGGCCUUGAAAGAGGGAGCCCGGAGAUGGACUCUGAGACACUAGUCCAGGCCCUACGGGGCGCAGCAGGCGCGAAAACUGUGCAAUGCGCGCAAGCGCGACACGGGAAGCCUGAGUGCCUUAACUAUGUUAAGGCUUUUCUUGAUCCUAAAAAGCUCAAGGAAUAAGAGCUGGGUAAGACGGGUGCCAGCCGCCGCGGUAACACCCGCGGCUCGAGUGGUAGUCACUUUUAUUGAGCCUAAAGCGUUUGUAGCCGGAUUUGUAAAUCUCUAGGAAAAUACUUCUGCUUAACUGAAGAAAUUUUGGAGAGACUGCAAAUCUAGGGACCGGGUGAGGUUGAAUGUACUUCUGGGGUAGGGGUAAAAUCCUGUAAUCCUGGAAGGACGACCGGUGGCGAAGGCGUUCAACUAGAANCGGAUCCGACGGUGAGGAACGAAGGCUAGGGGAGCAAACCGGAUUAGAUACCCGGGUAGUCCUAGCUGUAAACACUGCCCACUUGGUGUUGCAUCUCCGGUAAGGGGGUGCAGUGCCGUAGCGAAGGUGUUAAGUGGGCCGCUUGGGGAGUAUGGCCGCAAGGCUGAAACUUAAAGGAAUUGGCGGGGGAGCACCGCAACGGGAGGAGCGUGCGGUUUAAUUGGAUUCAACGCCGGAAAACUCACCGGAGGCGACCUGUGUAUGAGAGUCAACCUGAUGAAUUUACUCGAUAGCAGGAGAGGUGGUGCAUGGCCGUCGUCAGCUCGUACCGUAGGGCGUUCACUUAAGUGUGAUAACGAGCGAGACCCCCAUCUUCAAUUGCUAAGCUAACCGUGAGGUUGGUAGAACUUUGAAGGGACCGCCAGUGCAGAACUGGAGGAAGGAGGGGUCGACGGCAGGUCAGUACGCCCCGAAUCUUCCGGGCAACACGCGCGCUACAAAGGACAGGACAAUGGGCUGCGACCUCGAAAGGGGAAGCCAAUCCCGAAACCUGUUCGUAAUUAGGAUUGAGGGCUGUAACUCGCCCUCAUGAAUCUGGGAUUCCGUAGUAAUCGCGGUCAACAUCCCGCGGUGAUAUGCCCCUGCCCCUUGUACACACCGCCC
rnacentral:rRNA from 1 species